rnacentral:misc_RNA from 1 species
UGUGCUGUGCCACAUGCAACAUUAGAGCAGCCUGCCUGAUAAGUAGUUGCAACUGAUGCUGUUAGUCCUUGCAAAGGGGUCGUAUAUUUGCACGGGGUACCCUCAUAGUUUCCAAUCAUUGUCUUUGUGACAUUGGCAUUGGGUCCAAUUACUGCCAAGUUUUUUAUGGCAUAGAGGCAGUGAUCCUGGACUGUUCUUAAGCAACACUAUCCCUUGCCUUGCGGCUUCACGGGCCAGAUCUUGGUUCUCUGUUGUGCAAACAUCUUUUGGACCAAGCUUUCCAUAGAGUUGCUUGCUAGGGUCGCCAUCAAAAAAACCCAGUCUCAUCAAGGUGGCAAAAUUGUUUGAGACAGCCUUAUCAAUUGCCGGCUCAUCCACUAAUCCUGCCUUAACUGCAGCUUCCGUGUGUUGGCCUAGGAAGGAUCCACAAUUGAG